UACGUAGGGGGCAAGCGUUGUCCGGAUUUAUUGGGCGUAAAGAGCUCGUAGGCGGUUGGGUAAGUCACGUGUGAAAUCUCCACGCUCAACGUGGAGGCGCCACGUGAGACUGUCCUGACUCGAGUCCGGUAGGGGAGCGUGGAAUUCCCGGUGUAGCGGUGAAAUGCGCAGAGAUCGGGAGGAACACCCGUAGCGAAGGCGGCUCACUGGUCCGGUACUGACGCUGAGGUGCGAAAGCGUGGGGAGCAAACAGG
rnacentral:rRNA from 1 species